UUUGUCAACAACCUAACGUAACUUUUUUAUUUUACCUAGCUGUUCGGCAAACAGUGAACUUUGAAAAAAAAUAUUGAAAAGGUUCGAUAUUAUAUUUAAAAAAAUAUGCGUAGUCUUUCAGUGACUUAAAAAUAAAAUGUAUUUUCAGUGUUUAUACGACUGACCUGAUCAAAUGAUUACACCCAGACGCAAAAAUGAUUGAAGAAGAAAUCGAUGAAGAAUAUAUAGACGAUCCGAUAAGAUUGUUUGAUUGUGAACAGAUCCGAGUACUUUGUUGUCCAGUAAGCAAAGCACACGAUGUCGAAGAUGCUUCGUAUGAAGGCAAUAUACGACUUAAAGAGUAUCGUUUAAAUUAUGAAGAAACAGUAAAUUCGUAUAAAAAUAAUUCUUCUAUAUUACCGGUUACAUUCUUUGACAUAGAGAGCAAUGUGGAACUUUUAAACCGAUGUCGUCCACUUAGUAUAAAACUCGUUGACUAUAAUAGGUUUCCUUGGUAUCAUAAUUUGAAAAAGAAAGUUGUAGAUUGUUCUAAUUUGAAUUUGAAUAAAAGUGAUUUACAAGAAGCAGAUUGUAUAGAAAUUUUAGCUUCAGACACAAAUGGCGAUGACGAUACAGUUUAUAAGCAGAUUACUUCAAAAGACAGUCUGAAUACUAAUGAUAAUAAAAAAUUAUCCAAAGUAAGUUUUGUAAGUAAAAAUGACACGAUUUCAGAAAGGCACCUAACAAGAAGAAUGUUUAGUAAAGAUGUAAUCAAUAGAUAUCAAAAUAGUAAAGUUAAAGACCUUAAAAUAGGAAAAGGAAUAACUAAUCUUGAAGACCCACAGGAAAAUAUUGAAAUUGAGACAAAAUCCGCUAACAAAACAAAAUUCAUUUCCGAAAAUCAACAUAACUAUAAAGAACUCGAUGUUGAUAAAAUGAAUACUUUCGCAUCCAUUAUUGAUAAAGCGUAUAAAAAAUUGACAAGAGAUAUCGAAAAGCCUUAUAAAGAAAUUAAAACUGAAAAUACAUCCAAUAAGAGUAAGACUAAUCGCUUAGAUGAUUACACAAAAAUAAACUGUAGUCAUUUGGAUAAAGAUGUUCAAAAUAAAGCAGAUGGAAUCAUUUGCAAUAACAAAUACGAUUUGUUAAAAUCUAAAACGUUUUCAAACGAUAAAAAUCAGACUUCAGAAAAAUAUAAAGAAAAUAAUGUUUUUAUUCAAGAAAUGGAAAUAUUAGAAACUAUCAUAGAAAAUAGUAAUGACUCAAGUUCACCUCUACUACCUUGUCCAUCAAAGACAAAAAGGAAUGACCAAAUGAAUAGGAUAAAAAUAUCAGAUACGCCAUUUCCAUCAAAUACCAAACAUAAAAUUAAGAAAAAUGUUUGCAAGAAUCAGUUAUUUAGCGCAAAGCGAGUGAUUCCUCAUUAUCAUUAUGAAUCAAUGUAUGCUACACAAAUAUGUAAACCAUUUAAUUCUCAACCAAAAAUUUCUAAAAAAUCAAAUAAUAAAACUGGAUUUUUACAAAAAAAUAUUGACCGUGUAACUUGUGAAGUAAAUAAUAAAAAACGAGGUCUAUCAAAAGAAUGUAAUCAAAAUAAACGCAUCAAAUUUGCUGACACUGAUUUAAAUAAAAUGAAUAAUAUUACUCAUAAUAAUCAUACGACAUCUAAAGCUGACCAUAUGGCUUCACUAAAUCAUGUGAUGUCUUUAUGCAACAAGCAGUGUUAUGCUCAAGUGGGCUUAAGUCCAAAUCAAACUGGAUGCAACCUUAAUGAGGGAGACUCAAGAAACUUAGACAAUAUGAGAUGUCAUACAAUUUCAUCGCUAGAUGCAACACAAGGAAAUAAAAAUAGGCCAAAGUCUGUAAGUAACAGUAUUCCUAUUUUGUUAGAUCGGCAAUCGAAGCAUGUGCAACAUAAUAUUACGCCAAAGUUUCCAAUUCAAAGAGUUGUAUCCAAUCGAUGUAAUUCUUAUACUAAUGAUUUAAUUUUUCAAACAAGUAAUAUAUUACUUGCAAAUGAUCAUCCUUAUCAAAAUCUCUGCCAUCGAAGUAAUCAUCAUAAUGAUUCAUACGAUUUAGAACAAUCCUUAAAUAAUAUAACGAAUGGUACGAAAACUGUAACUGUUUAUGAAGACAAUCCUUUAUCUGCUUCGUUUUAUACGAUUCCUUCAACUCCAAUUAAUCUAUUACCUGAAUAUCAAAAUGACAACAGUCGAAUUUCAAGUACAAAAUUCCAACAUCAUCAUAUUAAUAAUUAUGAAAAUACUAUACGUACCGAAAAUGUUGAGAGACAAACAAAAAUACUGAGUAGUCAAAGAAAUUUAAACGUCAACAGAAAAGCAAUAAUAGCUACGGUAAUUGCGAAAGAUUCUGAUGUGAAUCAAAAAGCUAAUAGUGCAGUUGAAAAUGCAACGCAUACUACUGAGAGGGAAGUUCAGAAAUAUCCACAUUUAAAACAGUGUUUGGAACGUCCACCUUUCCUAAUAAAUAAUCCUACCAAGAUGAACAGGGAGAAGCAAACAAGUGUAAAUAAUAUAGCAAGUAGAAAUUUAGAUAAAAUGUCGAAUAAAGGUUAUUCGCCGCCAAUAUUGCCGAUACCAUCUUACCAAAAAACGUUUGAAAUAUUAGCCAAGAUUAGACUAUAUGAUUAUGAUAGAGGAUUCAUUCAACCUGAUUUAUCUGAUAAUGGUAUCCCAUCAUCAGAAAAUUUUAAUAUUUUAGAGAAAACUGCGCACAAAAGAAAAAUAAACGAUGUACAAAAAGUAUCACGAAAUAUUACCCUAGAUGAUUACAAAAAACGCAUGUCUGACGAAAGUGCAAGAAGGUAACAUUAUCAAGUUUUGUGUUGCAUUUUUUCUUUUCGACUUCUAUUUGAUAAUGGCUUUCUAGGGUUAUAGUGCCCAAAAUAUUUAACGUUCAACCGUAUAUAAACACAGUAAGAAUAAAGAAAAAAAAAGAUAUAGCAAUAUAAACGAUUCUCUAUUGUUAGGCGUCGAAAACUGGAAAUUAUAUUUCGCUUAUGUAAUUUUGUUCCAAAAAACGCUUAAUAUGAACUUAAUGCUUAAUCGGUUUUCAAAUAAUUAUAAUUUUUAGAGUAACGGUUACUAUUCAAAGUUAAAUAGCGAUUUUGUUCAGUUUUAGUAUUAGGUCUUAGGACUUUAAGAUCGAUAAUGGUUUAUGGACUGACUGUUUUGUUUAUUUAGUUAUUAUUUAUUGUAUUUUUAUAAGCAAUUGUAAGUUUAUUUCUGUUAACGUCAAAUAGAUUUAUGACACAAUAAGGACAGUCAUUUAUAAGUAUGCCUUAAUAUUAUGUAAUUUUACAUGAAAAAGUUUAGCGCAUGCGUUGUUAACUCAAUAUUCGAAACUAUUAUGACAUAUUAUAUAU